rnacentral:misc_RNA from 1 species
UCACCGUAUCAAGCUUGGCUUGUGGUUGGGCCCUGUCACCGCGUGACAGGUCUGAAAGAUAAUGGCCGGUGUCAUACCGACGCUAUAUGCAAUGAGCUGACCACAGCACGCAUCUGGCAGUUGUGUGGCCCGGUCUGUACCCUCUUUUAUCUCAA